GGAUCAUUGUCGAGACCCUGCCCAGCAGAAGGACCGGCGAAC
rnacentral:rRNA from 1 species